rfam:Trichoderma harzianum strain T6776 Scaffolds0037.1, whole genome shotgun sequence.
GCGACCUUAGCUCAGCUGGGAGAGCGUCAGACUGAAGCCUUUACUUCAAUCACCAGUUUAUCUGAAGGUCGUGUGUUCGAUCCACACAGGUCGCA